AGAGUUUGAUCAUGGCUCAGGACGAACGCUGGCGGCGCGCCUAACACAUGCAAGUCGAACGAGCAAGAGAGAGCUUGCUUUCUCGAGCGAGUGGCGAACGGGUGAGUAACGCGUGAGGAACCUGCCUCAAAGAGGGGGACAACAGUUGGAAACGACUGCUAAUACCGCAUAAGCCCACGACCCGGCAUCGGGAAGAGGGAAAAGGAGCAAUCCGACUUUGAGAUGGCCUCGCGUCCGAUUAGCUAGUUGGUGAGGUAACGGCCACCGAAGGCGACGAUCGGUAGCCGGACUGAGAGGUUGAACGGCCACGAUUGGGACUGAGACACGGCCCAGACCUCCGUACGGGAGCA
rnacentral:rRNA from 1 species